UUUAUGGAGAGUUUGAUCCUGGCUCAGGAUGAACGCUGGCGGCGUGCCUAAUACAUGCAAGUCGAGCGAACGGACGAGAAGCUUGCUUCUCUGAUGUUAGCGGCGGACGGGUGAGUAACACGUGGAUAACCUACCUAUAAGACUGGGAUAACUUCGGGAAACCGGAGCUAAUACCGGAUAAUAUUUUGAACCGCAUGGUUCAAAAGUGAAAGACGGUCUUGCUGUCACUUAUAGAUGGAUCCGCGCUGCAUUAGCUAGUUGGUAAGGUAACGGCUUACCAAGGCAACGAUGCAUAGCCGACCUGAGAGGGUGAUCGGCCACACUGGAACUGAGACACGGUCCAGACUCCUACGGGAGGCAGCAGUAGGGAAUCUUCCGCAAUGGGCGAAAGCCUGACGGAGCAACGCCGCGUGAGUGAUGAAGGUCUUCGGAUCGUAAAACUCUGUUAUUAGGGAAGAACAUAUGUGUAAGUAACUGUGCACAUCUUGACGGUACCUAAUCAGAAAGCCACGGCUAACUACGUGCCAGCAGCCGCGGUAAUACGUAGGUGGCAAGCGUUAUCCGGAAUUAUUGGGCGUAAAGCGCGCGUAGGCGGUUUUUUAAGUCUGAUGUGAAAGCCCACGGCUCAACCGUGGAGGGUCAUUGGAAACUGGAAAACUUGAGUGCAGAAGAGGAAAGUGGAAUUCCAUGUGUAGCGGUGAAAUGCGCAGAGAUAUGGAGGAACACCAGUGGCGAAGGCGACUUUCUGGUCUGUAACUGACGCUGAUGUGCGAAAGCGUGGGGAUCAAACAGGAUUAGAUACCCUGGUAGUCCACGCCGUAAACGAUGAGUGCUAAGUGUUAGGGGGUUUCCGCCCCUUAGUGCUGCAGCUAACGCAUUAAGCACUCCGCCUGGGGAGUACGACCGCAAGGUUGAAACUCAAAGGAAUUGACGGGGACCCGCACAAGCGGUGGAGCAUGUGGUUUAAUUCGAAGCAACGCGAAGAACCUUACCAAAUCU
rnacentral:rRNA from 1 species